rnacentral:rRNA from 1 species
GUGGGGAAUAUUGCACAAUGGGCGAAAGCCUGAUGCAGCGACGCCGCGUGGGGGAUGACGGCCUUCGGGUUGUAAACCUCUUUCAGUAGGGAAGAAGCGAAAGUGACGGUACCUGCAGAAGAAGCGCCGGCUAACUACGUGCCAGCAGCCGCGGUAAUACGUAGGGCGCAAGCGUUGUCCGGAAUUAUUGGGCGUAAAGAGCUUGUAGGUGGCUUGUCGCGUCUGCCGUGAAAACCCGAGGCUCAACCUCGGGCGUGCGGUGGGUACGGGCAGGCUAGAGUGUGGUAGGGGAGACUGGAACUCCUGGUGUAGCGGUGAUAUGCGCAGAUAUCAGGAAGAACACCGAUGGCGAAGGCAGGUCUCUGGGCCAUUACUGACACUGAGAAGCGAAAGCAUGGGGAGCGAACAGGA